GAAAUCCUAUUCCAAUAACUAAAAUCAGAAUCGGGAUCAUCAAAUAAUUUGAUUGGAAAGUUUUAUCAUCCAAAAUCUCUUUUGUUACUUUUAUUCUUCUUUUAAUUUCAACAUUUUCCUCAAUUUGAAUUGUUAGUUUAACCAACUUAUGAUCUGCGCUCCUUAAUCCCUUGACCUGACCACGUAAAUCCAGGAUAUUGUGGAUAACUAUGACGAUAAGUAUCAAUAAAAUUAAAUUCAUCAAUAAUUUUACUUAAAAUUUUUCUAGAACCGUCCGGAUGUAAUGUCCGGUUUUUAUCUAAAACUUGUAAAACAUUAUUAAA